CCUGCAUUCGGCCCACGGAGGUGAUGCCCACGCCCAGCCUGCUGCCUGCUCUAGAGGGCCCCCUGCUGGAGGGGAUGGUGGUGGUGCACGCAGGCUGGGCCUUCCUUGGCUUCAGCUCCCUCAGCCUCCUCAAAAUCAUCCUCUGCUUCGUGUCCGUCAAGGUCUUUGCCAAGGUCAGAUGCUCCAGGAAUCAGCGGCUGGGAAGCCAAAGGUCACGGAGGUGACGGAGAGAGAUGCAGGCCGAGCAGUCUGCUCCCUGGAUGUUCAGUCCAAAACCACAAAUCAGUUUCAGGUGCGACCUAGGUUCGGGGGCGGAGUCGUUUCCUUUAUAAAGCGUGUCCUGCCGUGGAUGAAGGAGCUUGCUAGUACCGAGUGGCCUCACGUCCUGUUUCUAACGCCAACGGAUGGAUCUCUACUGUUGUGAAAUUGUGAUACUAGUCUUUUGUUAAUAAAUAAACCCCCUAGACACA
rnacentral:lncRNA from 1 species